CCCGGUGGCUGUAGCGGAGGGGCCACACCCGUUCCCAUUCCGAACACGGAAGUUAAGCCCUCCAGCGCCGAUGGUACUGCAAGGGUGACUUUGUGGGAGAGUAGGACGUUGCCGGGA
rnacentral:rRNA from 1 species